rnacentral:rRNA from 1 species
GACGAACGCUGGCGGCGUGCUUAACACAUGCAAGUCGAACGGUGAAGCUCAACUUUCCUGUGGUGGCAGAGUCGCGAACGGGUGAGUAACACGUGAGCAACCUGCCCCUGACUCUGGAAUAACCGCUGGAAACGGCGUCUACUACUGGAUACGAGAGGGGUCCGCAUGGGCACUUUCUGAAAUGUUAGUCGGUUGGGGAUGGGCUCGCGGCUUAUCAGCUUGUUGGUGAGGUAAUGGCUAACCAAGGCAUCGACGGGUAGCCGGCCUGGGAGGGCGACCGGCCACACUGGGACUGAGACAGGGCGCAGACUCCUACGGGAGGCAGCAGGGGGGAAUAUUGCACAAUGGGCGAAAGCCUGAGGCAGCGAUGCCGCGUGAGGGAUGACGGCCUUCGGGUGGGAAACCGCUGUCAGCAGGGAAGAAGCGAAAGUGACGGUACCUGCAGAAGAAGCACCGGCUAACUACGUG